rnacentral:tRNA from 1 species
UUAAUAGAAGCCAAAAUCUGAGGCUAUUCACUGUUAAUGAAUAAAUUGACUGCUUUUUCCUAUUAA